rnacentral:sRNA from 1 species
UCAAGCAAACCAUGAGGGAUCCUUACUGACCUGUCAGCUAGGAUGAGGGAUAUAUUGCAAGAUUUGUAUUGAGUAAACCCCAAUCUUCUGGCGACAGAGAGCGGCAUGAGACUGACUGAUGCUCCUAAAUCACAUAGGAAUCUGUUGAAAGCCAAUGGACCUAAAAAGCAUGGUAGACUGAAUGAACCAGGAUCACUAAGCUUCUUAGGAAUGAUCUUCUUCUGUAUGAUAGCACUGCAUUUAUGACUCAAUACCACCAUCCCUUGCACUUCUUGAAUUCUCUCCACGAUCAAGUCUUUCAGAAACCUGUGAGAGUCUGGUAUUAGCGCUGGAGCGUCAACAAGAGGUAUCUGCAACUCAACUUCCUUGAUGUUCUUGGCGAACAUAGCUCUAUACUUAUCUGCUAAUGCUUUCUUGUGAUGGCCAGGAAAUGGAAGUUGUGGUUUGUAUUGAGGAGGAACAAAGACCUUUUCUUUGUUCUUGACAACAACUGGUUUUGGAGCGGAUGGUGAUGCUGCUGGGAAGAUAGGUCGUGAAGCAAAGUCGAGUG